UUUGUUUAAAGUUUGAGAGGCUAACAGACAUCCGGGUGGAAAUGUUGAGCAAGCAGGUAGGGUUCAGGGCAGAGAUGUGGGCUGAAGAAACACACCUGAGGCUUGACAGUGGUCAGCACAUAAAGGGGUUUUAAAGCCUUGAGCUUGGAGCAGGUCCCUUGGGAAGUGAGGGCAGGCAAAAAGAAGAGGUAAGAGGACAGCACUUGGAGCAAUGCAUCACUAAGAAGCUGGGGAGAUGGUGGGGGUAACUAACGACGGACCCCGAGCAGAGGAAGAGACAAGCCAAGCCAGGGUGGUGCCCUAGAAGGUAAAUAAAGAAAGUGUUUCAGAAGGAGGAUGUGAUCACUGGUUUUAGAGUAAUGUCAGCUCUGGGGAGAUGAAGACUGGGGACAGCUGGCCACUGGCGAUGGGGAGUAAAUGUUGGUUGGAUGAAUAAACAGGGAAUACGCUGAAAUUCCAUCUAGAACUGUGAUGUCAGAUGGGUUCUGGGAUAGGAUCUGGCCUCAUGAACAGCAAAUGAGAUGAUGCCAGUUAAGCAAAGCCAACACAACUUGGGCUCAAGCAGCCAAAGGCCAAAUUGGAGGCUCUAGAUCCUUCCAGCUUCAGGUCGGGCAGGAUUGUUCCUGGGAACUAGAAGGAGACCCACUGUAGGUAAAUCAGGUGGUAGCAGCUAUGUGGGGCCUGGAGGUCAAGUCCAGACCCCAGAUUCAGAAGCAGAGGCAAAACUGAAAUGUCACCGGGAAUGUGUUACGUGCCAGGCACUAUGCAAAGCCAGAGGGGAGAACCCGAAGACAUAAGACGUGGUCUUUCCUGGGGAGGUUCCCCAUCUAAUAGGAGAGAGACACAAGUGGAUGGAUGGCCCAGAUGCAGGAUAGUUAGAGGUCCACUCAAGGUCAAGUUCUAUGCUGUGAGACUCCACGGAAACAGUUCCAUCUCCCCCGUGGAGUCUGAACUAGAUCCACUAAAAGGCCAGUUUCAAAGGCCAUCCGAGACCCAGACGGUGCUUGAACAAAAAUGGUCAGUGGUAACUCUUCAACCUGGAUUCCCGAGGAAGAAGAGCGCCAGCAAGGCCACCAUCUCAGAACUGGCAAACUGCAAGACUGUCCUCUGGUCUAACCACCACCCCUCUUCCGCGUUCCUGCCACACCGGUGCACCCCUACCUACCGGGACAGGAAUCCCACUACGUUCUUUUCCUCUUACUAAAAGGAUAAACUUUAAACUCUUUUGCUUUUUC